ACCUCACCAUUAAGUCGUCUCUUACGACAAAGAUUUAUGAAAUACCUAUUCUAACCCGAAUUCCCAUGAAAACACAAACAGAUUUUACCAGUAGGGGAUUCACUAGCUAAAACAUGAUUGUAUUUUAAUCACAAGAAGAAGACUUGUUUGUAAUCAGACAAACAAAAGACUAAUGUGCUGACUUGUAAGCCGGAAUUUUUUUAUCCGGCAUGGCUCGGGUUUUUUCUUUUGUUAUUAUCGCUGAUGUUUCCGUGCGUGCAGCACGCAGAGCUUUCCCUCGUCUCCUUUCUGUACAGUCAUAUUGUCUUGUUACAGUAGUUUUACUCUGCCCACAAUUUUUUCACCAGUCAAUUAAGCAAGCAAUCAUACAAGCAUACAUACAAUCAAUAAAGAUCAUGAAACUGUUGUCAUGUUGUGGACUAGAUACCUUUAAGAAGAAAAUUCUUGACAAACGUUUGAUUGACAUAGAUGAAUUAAAGAUUAUAGAGGAUGCAGUUAGAUAGGAGGUGAGGACCGUGACAGAGAAAGUGAAAAUGGACCAAGAACUUCCUCUACUUUCGAUUUAUGAGGACGUCUACCAAACCAUUCAAGUGAUCUGAUCAAAGUGUCAUUCAUAAAUCUAUACAGUGAGACCUGCCUAAGCCGACAUGCUGUGAGGAAAAUUAUGUCCCAUUAAACAGGACUUCAGAUUGUAGAAUGUGCAGAACGAGGAUAAAAGAAAAUUGGAAAAUUAAAAUGAAGUCAGAAUUCUACAGUGAAACGGAGUACACGGUGCUGCAUUAAACAGGUUU